UACGUAGGGGGCAAGCGUUGUCCGGAAUUAUUGGGCGUAAAGAGCGUGUAGGCGGUCCGGUAAGUCAGCUGUGAAAGUCAAGGGCUCAACCCUUGAAUGCCGGUUGAUACUGUCGGGCUUGAGUACGGAAGAGGCGAGUGGAAUUCCUGGUGUAGCGGUGAAAUGCGCAGAUAUCAGGAGGAACACCAAUUGCGAAGGCAGCUCGCUGGGACGUUACUGACGCUGAGACGCGAAAGCGUGGGGAGCAAACAGG
rnacentral:rRNA from 1 species